UUUUUUUUUAUAUAUAUUUUCCUCAAGAUAACCAUGCAGUCUAGUAUAGCAAUAUACAGUGAACUGCGAAUGGCUCAUUAAAUCAGUUAUCGUUUAUUUGAUAGUACCUUACUACUUGGAUAACCGUGGUAAUUCUAGAGCUAAUACAUGCUUAAAAUCCCGACUGUUUGGAAGGGAUGUAUUUAUUAGAUAAAAAAUCAAUGCCUUCGGGCUCUUUGAUGAUUCAUAAUAACUUUUCGAAUCGCAUGGCCUUGUGCUGGCGAUGGUUCAUUCAAAUUUCUGCCCUAUCAACUUUCGAUGGUAGGAUAGUGGCCUACCAUGGUUUCAACGGGUAACGGGGAAUAAGGGUUCGAUUCCGGAGAGGGAGCCUGAGAAACGGCUACCACAUCCAAGGAAGGCAGCAGGCGCGCAAAUUACCCAAUCCCGACACGGGGAGGUAGUGACAAUAAAUAACGAUACAGGGCCCUUUCGGGUCUUGUAAUUGGAAUGAGUACAAUGUAAAUACCUUAACGAGGAACAAUUGGAGGGCAAGUCUGGUGCCAGCAGCCGCGGUAAUUCCAGCUCCAAAAGCGUAUAUUAAAGUUGUUGCAGUUAAAAAGCUCGUAGUUGAACCUUGGGCUUGGCUGGCCGGUCCAUCUUUUUUGAUGCGUACUGGACCCAGCCGAGCCUUUCCUUCUGGCUAGCCUUUUGGCGAACCAGGACUUUUACUUUGAAAAAAUUAGAGUGUUCAAAGCAGGCCUUUGCUCGAAUAUAUUAGCAUGGAAUAAUAGAAUAGGACGUUAUGGUUCUAUUUUGUUGGUUUCUAGGACCAUCGUAAUGAUUAAUAGGGACGGUCGGGGGUAUCAGUAUUCAGUUGUCAGAGGUGAAAUUCUUGGAUUUACUGAAGACUAACUACUGCGAAAGCAUUUACCAAGGACGUUUUCAUUAAUCAAGAACGAAAGUUAGGGGAUCGAAGAUGAUCAGAUACCGUCGUAGUCUUAACCAUAAACUAUGCCGACUAGGGAUCGGUUGUUGUUCUUUUAUUGACGCAAUCGGCACCUUACGAGAAAUCAAAGUCUUUGGGUUCUGGGGGAAUAUGGUCGCAGGCUGAACUAA
rnacentral:rRNA from 1 species